GACCAGACUCCUACGGGAGGCAGCAGUGGGGGAUAUUGCACAAUGGGGGAAACCCUGAUGCAGCGACGCCGCGUGAGUGAAGAAGUAAUUCGUUACGUAAAGCUCUAUCAGCAGGGAAGAAAAUGACGGUACCUGACUAAGAAGCCCCGGCUAACUACGUGCCAGCAGCCGCGGUAAUACGUAGGGGGCAAGCGUUAUCCGGAAUUACUGGGUGUAAAGGGGGCGCAGACGGCGAUGCAAGCCAGGAGUGAAAGCCCGGGGCCCAACCCCGGGACUGCUCUUGGAACUGCGUGGCUGGAGUGCAGGAGGGGCAGGCGGAAUUCCUGGUGUAGCGGUGAAAUGCGUAGAUAUCAGGAGGAACACCGGUGGCGAAGGCGGCCUGCUGGACGAUGACUGACGUUGAGGCUCGAAAGCGUGAGGAGCAAACAGGAUUAGAUACCCUUGUAU
rnacentral:rRNA from 1 species